rnacentral:rRNA from 1 species
GAUGAACGCUAGCGGGAGGCCUAAUACAUGCAAGUCGAACGGUAAAUGGUAGCAAUACUAUGAGAGUGGCGUACGGGUGCGUAACGCGUACACAACCUGCCUUGUACUGGGGGAUAGCCUCGGGAAACUGAGAUUAAUACCCCAUAAUUUUACGAUGUGGCAUCACAUUGUAAUUAAAGCUCCGGCGGUACAAGAUGGGUGUGCGUCCGAUUAGGUAGUUGGUGAGGUAACGGCUCACCAAGCCGACGAUCGGUAGCUGGUCUGAGAGGACGGUCAGACACACGGGCACUGAGACACGGGCCCGACUCCUACGGGAGGCAGCAGUAGGGAAUAUUGGACAAUGGACGCAAGUCUGAUCCAGCCAUCCCGCGUGAAGGAUUAAGGCCCUCUGGGUUGUAAACUUCUUUUCUUUGGGAAUAAAAAGCGAUAUUCAUAUCGCCUUGAAGGUACCAGGGGAAUAAGCACCGGCUAACUCCGUGCCAGCCGCCGCCGUAA